GUGCUGGAAGGUUAAUUGAUGGGGUUAGCGUAAGCGAAGCUCUUGAUCGAAGCCCCAGUAAACGGCGGCCGUAACUAUAACGGUCCUAAGGUAGCGAAAUUCCUUGUCGGGUAAGUUCCGACCUGCACGAAUGGCGCAAUGACGGCCACGCUGUCUCCACCCGAGACUCAGUGAAAUUGAAAUCGCCGUGAAGAUGCGGUGUACCCGCGGCAAGACGGAAAGACCCCGUGAACCUUUACUAUAGCUUUACAGUGGAUUUUGAAUCUUUUUGUGCAGGAUAGGUGGGAGGCUUUGAAGCUCAGACGCUAGUUUGAGUGGAGCCAUCCUUGAAAUACCACCCUGAAAGUUUUGAAAUUCUAACUUAGAUCCAUUAUCUGGAUUGAGGACAUUGUAUGGUGGGUAGUUUGACUGGGGCGGUCUCCUCCGAAAGAGUAACGGAGGAGUACGAAGGUACCCUCAGCCCGGUCGGAAAUCGGGCUAUUGAGUGCAAAAGCAAAAGGGUGCUUGACUGCGAGACAGACACGUCGAGCAGGUACGAAAGUAGGUUUUAGUGAUCCGGUGGUUCUGUAUGGAAAGGCCAUCGCUCAACGGAUAAAAGGUACUCCGGGGAUAACAGGCUGAUUCCGCCCAAGAGUUCAUAUCGACGGCGGAGUUUGGCACCUCGAUGUCGACUCAUCACAUCCUGGGGCUGUAGUCGGUCCCAAGGGUAUGGCUGUUCGCCAUUUAAAGUGGUACGCGAGUUGGGUUCAGAACGUCGUGAGACAGUUCGGUCCCUAUCUGCCGUGGGCGUUGGAAAUUUGAAAGGAGCUGCUUCUAGUACGAGAGGACCGAAGUGGACGUAUCUCUGGUGUUCGGGUUGUCAUACCAAUGGCAUUGCCCGGUAGCUACAUACGGACGGGAUAACCGCUGAAAGCAUCUAAGCGGGAAGCCUACCUUAAGAUUAGAUUUCCCUAGGGGUUUAACCCCUCUAAAGGUCCGUCGGAGACUACGACGUUGAUAGGCUGGGUGUGUAAGCACAGUAAUGUGUUUAGCUUACCAGUACUAAUUGACCGUGAGGCUUGACCAU
rnacentral:rRNA from 1 species